AGGACUAACGCUGGCGGCGUGCCUAACACAUGCAAGUCGAACGGACACCACUUUGUAGCAAUACAGAUGAAGUGUUAGUGGCAGACGGGUGAGUAACACGUAGUCAACCUGCCUUACCGUCCGGGAUAACUAGCCGAAAGGUUAGCUAAUACCUGAUACGAUCGUCGAGCGGCAUCGCUUGACGAUGAAAGCAGCAAUGCGCGGUUAGAGGGGGCUGCGGCCCAUUAGCUAGUUGGUGAGGUAAUGGCCCACCAAGGCAACGAUGGGUAGCUGGUCUGAGAGGACGACCAGCCACACUGGGACUGAGACACGGCCCAGACUCCUACGGGAGGCAGCAGUGAGGAAUUUUCCGCAAUGGGCGAAAGCCUGACGGAGCGACGCCGCGUGCACGAGGAAGGCCUUCGGGUCGUAAAGUGCUGUCGAGGGGGACGAGUUAUGACGGUACCCCUGGAGGAAGCCCCGGCUAACUACGUGCCAGCAGCCGC
rnacentral:rRNA from 1 species